rnacentral:lncRNA from 1 species
UCAUAUUGAUAGUUGAAUUUCUUAAAUUCUAUCGAAUUGGUAAAUAAAUUUCUAAGAGGGUUAACUUUCUUAGAUUUUUCAAUGAUACACUUCUUUCGAUUUGGUACAUGCAAGCGAGGAGUUCUUCCAACAAGGUGAGUUAUGGCGUAUGCAACCAGGCAUGAGUUUGAUGCCUUUCAAGUAACAUAUCAUGUGCUUGAACGUGUCCAUGUAUAAUACAGAUAAUAGAAAUAAUCUUGGAUAGAGAAACACACUCCACACUAUUUGUAGAGACUGUAUUUUCCAACUACCCCUUCUAGGAAUGGCAGGCGGCGCGGGUGCGGGUGCGGGGCAGCACAAUUUCAACCUGCCCGCCCCACAUAUGAUUUAAACUCGCGUACACCCGCCCGCCCCGCCCCGCAAAAUGUUUUUUUAAAAAAAAUCUCUUUUUUUUGGUUUUUUUUUUGCAGUAGUUGUAUUAUAUAAAGACGCCACAAACAUCUACACAACAUCUGAAAUUUGCCACUUAAAUUUUGCAUUAAGAUACACUCAGUAUAAUUUGGUACUGUUUAUUAGUUCAAUAGUAGCCUAUAAAAUAAAACCGCUUACAACUUGAUUUCAAGAAUAUAUUACAGCUUCAAUACAAAUAGGAUAAAUAAUUAUUGGGAUUGGAAUUGAGAAUUUUACCAUAUAGCUCCAAGAAUUUCUCAGACUUGCGUGCCAUUGCAGAGAGAAACUGAACAACUACACUUGUGAUUGUGUUUGUAUUUUUAUCGGUCCAAAAAGUAAAAUCCCCAACCCGCGACCCGCCCCGCAUAAUUUUUUUAUUUAAAAACUGAACCAGCCCCGCCCCGCCCCGCAACCGCAAACACCCAAACCCGCACCGCCCCGCUAACACUCAAACCCGCACCGACCCAUUGUCAUCCCUAACCCCUUCCAAUAUCCAGUACAUUCAAGAACCAAAAGAAAAGGAUUGGAUGACAAGAGUGAAAAAUAAAGGAGGAUAAACGGAGCAAUAGAACAAAACACAACCACAAAUGAAGAUAAAUAUGAAUGAAAUUUUAUGCAAUCAUAACAAGAACAAAUGGCUGAUCAGGGGAAUACAAAUGGAUGCAAUCAUACAAAUGUAUGGUUGUGCAUGUUGUAUUGUAUUGUUACUUUGUGAAGAUUAGGUCAUGCACAUCUGUCCACUGAUUUUCCCAAAACUAAAGGAAUACCAAGUAUUUACAAUGUAACAAUGUUAUAUUAGUUUAUUUUUCAUAUUAGAAUUUUAUGUAAAAAUGUUAUAUUAAAAUUUUUCCACUAGGCACAAAGAUCUAUAAAAUAGCACCUCUAUUGUUUAGAGAAAUCCAUUGUUCCGUGGUCCAUAGUGUUUAUUAUUUGGCUUGUACACUAUAUAAUCAGGGAAUGAAUCACGUUUCAACUCAUGCCAAGCUAUUUUGCAAUGUGAAACUAAGGGUAUAUAUUGCACCAUAUUUUUGUGCCAUUCUACUCAAAAAGAAAUCUCAAACGAGACAUUACUCCCAUGUGGACUUAGGCGAGCUAGAUCAAAUUUUUGGAAUAAUGACAUGCACCAUGACAUAAAAGGACUUAGGUUUCUUACCGGAAAUCGUGAGUACAAAGGAAGAAACAAUAAACUUCGAGACAAUAAUUCUAGCAAACAAAAAUGAACUUUCUUAACCAAAGCAGACAACCAAAAUUCAAAAAAAUUAAAAGGCAGAAAGGAAAGAGUACUCACAUUGCCUUCCCCUCAAAGGGCAAAAAAUAUGUCUCCUCCAAGGAUAAAGGCUGAAUUAACUCCACCAACACUUGUAAAGAUUGUAGGUUUCUCUCCACUUUGAGGCAGGCCAUCAUCAUUAAUCCAGGCUCAGGCUCUUCAGGAAGAAACACCACGAAUUUCCCAUCUUGCGGGAGGCCAACCAAAAUGGGGGAUGGUGGAGGGCGACCGUGAUAAGACAGUGAGGUAAAUUGAUCUAUAAGACAUGGCGAUUGAAACCAUGUUUUAGCACUAACAUGAUAUGCAUACAUGUACAUGUCAAAGGUGAACCAAUAGAAUGUAUCGUUAGUGAACACUGCGUUUAGAUUAUUGGACGCACGCCCUAGUGGACGAAUUUUAGCCUUAUCACCAAGACCUUCUGGAGAAGGAUCCCAAGAAUGACUCCACAAAGCAAAGUCCUUCUGGUCUUCGAUUAACUUGGAUAUAGUACCCUUAGUUGGAUCGAAAAACAUGAUACAACCCUUUAACAAGGAAUAAAACACAAUUUGCGUAGGCUCAUCUUUUUCCACAGAAAUAGCAACUUCAGAGUAAGGAUCAUAGGGAGCAAAAGCAUCGAAAUCAUCAUCAAGGUACUUCCAAGUUUUGUCCUUGAUAUCGUAAAUUUCACCACAUUUGGGACGAUCAUGACAUGUGCAGUGAUUUCCGCCCACAACACAUAGUUUUUCCCUACCAACAGCUGCGACGACGGGCGACAUACGGGGACAAUUCAGAGAAGAUUCGAUCUGCCAAAAGGCAGGAUCAGAUUGUGUCAUGCUAUGCUUAACCAAUUUUUCACUAGGGAUAGACCCAGAAAGACCAUCAGGCAAAUAUCCACCAGCGUAGUAGAUGUCGUCACCAAUAACAGCCCAAUUUCCUGCACUUCCAUAAAUAACCGGAUUGAGCUUCGCAACCGGAGAAAUCUUUUUUAUAGGGAGGAUUAUCGGUUGGCCUGAAUUAUCAUCAUCCUUUGUCAACAACGGAUCCUUUGUCACCGGCACAUCGAUGCAAUACCACCAAUCAAACUCUUCAUCUAGCCCGUGGAGAUAGACAACAACUGGAGACCCCCUCUCUCUCAAACCCUCUUCAUCCAUUCUUCUUCGAAUCAAAUCGGCUGGCUAAUUUCAUCCGUAUCGUCAAGUUUCGGACGCCAUAUAGUUAGGUUUUACGUGCCUCCCUUUUUUCGUUUUCUUUUUUGGCUUUUCUUUUUUCGAAAUUCCCUUAUAAUAUAACUCAAUUGCAUUUAUGCCCCAGUGAUUCUAAACAGUAACACGUAAUACCCCUAUAUUUUAUGGCCACAUAUAUUUGCUGCCCCUUAAACUUAGCAUCAUUCCUAUUGUCACACCUCCUUUUUCCCGAGGAGAUAGGGAGUUUUUUCAAUUUAAGUGACAUUAUUCGUAAUGAGAUUAUUUAUUGAUUCUGAGUCGCCACUUAGCAUAAUUUAUGCUGUUCUAAGUCACAGGUUUAUUUUGAAUCACAAAUCGAGGAAACUUAACUCUAUUUAAAGUCUGCGAAAACCAGAGGAUCAGGUAGAAAUUUUGUUAACCUGGGAGAAGGUGUGAGGCGAAUUCCGUGAUUUUAGCACGGUCGCUCAAUAAUUAAUAAUUGGCCUAAUUGUCUGAAUUAAAUAUUCCAAACAUAUUGUGCAUUUUUACCUUUUAAACCGCUUUUAGUAUUUAUUUAAACGCUUUUAAUACUUAUGGAAAUUAUUUGAACAAGUUGUGAUGUUGUGUCUUUCGUACAUAUUGCGAAUAGCGCCACGUGAAAUGCACCCGCGAUUUACAAUAUAUUUAUUUAUUAUUAAUUGAAGUUGAGGUCAAGUCGCCACAAACGCGCACUUGAGUUGGGAUUUAUGUAUCGUGACCAUGCCACGACAACCGUGUCCAUGGCCACAAUGAUUUAUUAGUCGCGUAUAAAGCCAGCUACGAUGUUCAUGAAUUAUUUUUCAUAAAACUAGUUUGAGAUUAUUGUGAGGCCAUGAAUUAUGGAAAUGAAAUUUUGAUGUGGAAGUCAAGAAAUAUUUUAGCUAAACGGUUCCAACACAAAACUUAUGAAUUACUACCAAAUUCAAAGCAUAAUAAGUAAACAAAGCUAGGUUCUUUCGGUGGCCGAAGACAACACUUUCUUAUUCCCUAUUUUCAAUGUCCUGCGUCAACAAUUCACCUUCUCCAUGAUAAAAAUUCCACUUCUCUAUACUUUUCACAUGUGCUGUUAAGUUCUUCUUUUUGUUUUCAAAUAUAGAAACAGAUUAUUUAUGGAUCUUGUUAGUCAUUUUCCCUGUCAACAGUAUUUUCGUGAAACAAUAUUAUUUCGCAAGAACAAUUGUUUUGCUUUUAGAUCUUGAUGUCUUGAACUUCAAUCUAAAUGCAUGGUUUUGGACGUUGUUUCUCUUCUUGAGCCGUGCUUUAAGAGGGAAGUUGUUCCUCUAGCCAGUAAAAAUAAGGAGUUAUGUGAAUGCGCCUACGAUGCCUAGGUGUAGCCAUUGCCGAGGUUAACAUUUUAUCUGGGGGGGGGGGGGGGUUACACUAUCUAUUACNNNNNNNNNNNNNNNNNNNNNNNNNCGGUAGGUCACGUAGUUAGUGGUGGGGGGGGGGGGGGUUUUCACUAAUCAUCUUUAGGGGAAAACUUAAUAGUGAAAAAAGAGGAAUCUCAGUAAUUAUGGAAAGAAGGGUUGAGUUAUGACAAAGUAUCUAUUUGGUGUGUUUCCUUGUUGCUAAUAGGUAACUGCUUAAUUGUUUUUGGUGCUUUGAUUGCUUUCAGUGUUGAUUAUAGCUAACUUAAUUUGGUUGAAUACUACAGCUUAGCUAUUCAUUUAUUCCCAAGUACCAGCAAUUUGCUUGCUUUGCUAGAUCUAAACUGUUAAAAGAAUGGUAUUAAUUGCACAUGUAUUCCAAAGUACCAGCAAUUGAAAAUCUAGAUAAACUUUUACAUGUCUCAGAUGCAGUUUUGUGGAAAGUCGUAAGAAACACCAUCUAGCUUUUCCAUCUUUUCCAGUUUGCAAUGCUCACACGUGAUACCAAACAAGAGAGCCCUAAUUGUCUUCCUUACAUAGACACUAGGGGGACUGGAAUGGUUUUGGACUUUGUAGUGAGAUGGGGGUGAACUCAUGCUCGUUCUACAAGGCAUAUGUUGAUUCUGGCGAGAAGGUGAGUUGAAAUUACAUGUCCUGAUGGUCCGGAAAUUGUGUUCCUCCUCACCAACCAAACAUUGAUAAAUAUUGUCAAUUCACUUACCAAGCACAAAAUAUCUGAGGAAAUCAUUUGUUUCCCUUCAUGCCAACACAUCACGAGGGGGGGAAGGGAUGAAAAGGAGCAACAUUAAAAUGUACAAGUUACCUUCGCUCUAGAAGGCAAAGAUAAAGCCUAUACAAAACACAAUCUUAUACGUUUUUAUGUCCAUCACAAUGCAGCAUAUUUAUGUACAAGCUAAAGCACAAAGUUUAAUAUACUAAUAAAACUAAUUGAAUCAAUUAACUUAGAGAACCAAACAAGACCGACACAACCCUUCGAACGAGAUGCCUGCAAUUCGAAAAAAGGUUUUAGAGAAAAUAUCUCCACAAGAGCAUCUGCAUCAAAAAGAUAAAAUAUUUACAGCAACCACAGCAAACUGGUAACUUUUGCUGAUCAUAGAAAUGCAAAUUUCUUGCCUUAAAGGGAUCAUACUACAAAUCCAUUACAGCAUUACAAAGAUCUUCGCCUUCACCAAAAGAUUCAUAAUGAUAGUUAUCAAACAACUAAAACUAGAAGUUUAAGACAUUCGAAAUUUGGAGAGUUGCCAAGUCGAAGUACUGAAAUUUCAGAACUUUUGAGUAACAGCAAUUUCAAAUGUCUUGACAACUAGAAAAAUUCCCAAACCAACCAACAAAAGAAAAGCCAGGCAUUAAACUGACUGCUGGUUUAUAAGAAAAUGGUAGGAUAACAAAAAUUACAACAUUUUUAAGGGCGGUAUACGGAGAUUAAAAAGAUGGAUGCACUUCAAAAUUUCCUGUUUCAUCUAUAUAUCCUAUAAUUUUCCAAAUAGAAAGAGACAAAAAUAUGAAAAUCCAACAACCACUCACCAUUAGAUCUCUGUUGCAGAUCAAACUCAUCCGCAGUGGCGGAUCCAGGAUUUUAAAGUCGUGGGUGCUCACUGAUAAAAAAUUGAAAGAAGAGGAAAAAAGAGUUUAGUUAUGGGUGCUCAAUCAAUAUUUACCUAAAUAUAUUUAUAAUUACCUAUACAAAUUUACUAAAUCUUGUCAAAGAUAAUGGGUGCUUGAGCACCCAAAAUUAGCAUGUAGAUUUGCCCCUGCUCAUCCGUGCAUGCUAGUUGACCCAGUAUUCUUCAACCUUCAACAUUCAUGUCAAGAAAAAAAGCAUUAGCAGAAUUCAAGCAAAGUAAAACGUCCACGGGAGGAAAAAAAAGAAGGAUGAAAUUUCACUCGCAACUAAUUUAAGUUUCUCGUUUUUACACAUAAUCAUACAACUAUAAUAUUAUACUUUUGGGACUUCCCGAAAGUUAAAACAUCAUCAUAGUAUUUGACAAAUGCAUCUACUUAGUGAACUUUCAUCAAAUUGGUUAAAAAGAUUCAUUUUAUUAGAUCUAGUACUAACCUAUGUUGCUCGGACUCUCCGAAAAUUAUGCCCGGUGCGUGUCGGAUCCUCCAAAAAUAGUGUAUUUUUGAAGGAUCCGACACGGGGUGCGGCAUCAUUUUGUAGAGUCCGCGCAACAUAGGUACUAACCCCUUGUUUGGAUGGUUGUUACAUGUUGUAUUGCAAGUUCGUUCUUCAUAUUGUUGGGGCAUAUCAUCGUGAAAUGAUGGAAAAUAAUAAAAAUCUAUUCAAAUAUUGUACACAUCAAAAUGAUACGAUACGAUGCAAUAUAAUAUAAUAUAAUAAAAUACAAUACACGGACACAAGCCUACAACAGAUAAUUAUUAAUCCCUUAAGGAUAUAACAAAGAGGUUACAAACAGCUAAUGUUUUCUUUUUGCGAGCAUAUGAUUUUAGAAACUUCAAAUACUUAAAAUAUUCCCUUCGUCCCAUAUUUCGGGACCCUUUUGACAAUUCACAAGGACCAAGAAGUGGAACACAUUCUUAGCUUUUUCAAUGUUACACUUCUUUCGAUCUGGUACAUGCAAGCGAGGAGUUCUUCCAACAAGGUGAGUUAUGGCGUAUGCAACCAGGCAUGAGUUUGAUGCCUUUCAAGUAACAUAUCAUGUGCUUGAACGUGUCCAUGUAUAAUACAGAUAACAGAAAUAAUCUUGGAUAGAGAAACACACUCCACACUGUUUGUAGAGACUGUAUUUUCCAACUACCCCUUCUAGGAAUGGCAGGCGGUGCGGGUACGGGGCAGCACAAUUUCAACCCGCCCGCCCCGCAUAUGAUUUAAACUCGCG